UACAGAGGUCUCAAGCGUUGUUCGGAUUCACUGGGCGUAAAGGGUGCGUAGGUGGUCGGGUAAGUCUGAUGUGAAAUCUUCAAGCUCAACUUGGAAACUGCAUCGGAUACUAUUCGGCUAGAGGAAUGGAGGGGAGACUGGAAUUCUCGGUGUAGCAGUGAAAUGCGUAGAUAUCGAGAGGAACACCAGUGGCGAAGGCGAGUCUCUGGACAUUUCCUGACGCUGAGGCACGAAAGCCAGGGGAGCAAACGGG
rnacentral:rRNA from 1 species